CAUUCCUGCACUCUGACAUCCUCGUACCCGGUGCCUUUUCCCAGAGGAAUCGACAGAGUGGUGUUAAAACAGCUGCUGUGGAAAUAGCUCACCAGAAAUUAGGAAGAUCUCGGUGGGCACAGGCUGUGUGAGCAUGCCUGGAGGAUUGCCUCGCUGUCGUGUCCUUUCCUGACAGCCCUAGAAGCAGGGUAGGGAAGAAGGAAGAAAAGUGGCAUGUCAUGUCCCUCAGGGGGCCAGAUUCACUAGGAAUCACUGCAGGACUUGACAACAGUGCGGUGCAGGGGUGCUCGAUGCUGCCGCAGCUAAGAGUAGCUGUUUUCCUCCAGUAUGAUCUGCCCAGCUUUCACAUCACCCAGCAGAAGCAGCUUGAGAAGCUGGAGGCUCCUCGGCGACAAUCGCGAAUUCCGCAUCGAGCCCCUUGACCUGCCCUGGGCCACCUCGGGGUGGGGGGACGCGGCCACCGCGGCUGUUCCC